CACAAGCGAGGAACAUGUGGUUUAAUUCGAUGAUACGCGAGGAACCUUACCUGGGCUUAAAUGUAGAUUGCAUGAGGUGGAAACACUUCUCCCUUCGGGCUAUUUACAAGGUGCUGCAUGGUUGUCGUCAGCUCGUGCCGUGAGGUGUCGGGUUAAGUCCCAUAACGAGCGCAACCCUUACCGUUAGUUGCCAUCGGGUCAAGCCGGGGACUCUAGCGGGACUGCCACCGUAAGGUGAGAGGAAGGUGGGAUGACGUCAAAUCAGCACGGCCCUUAUGUCCAGGGCUACACACGUGUUACAAUGGCCGGUACAGAGGGCAGCUACCUGGUGACAGGAUGCUAAUCCCGAAAGCCGGUCCCAGUUCGGAUUGGAGUCUGCAACUCGACUGCAUGAAGUUGGAAUCGCUAGUAAUCGCUGAUCAGCAGGCAGCGGUGAAUACGUUCCCGGGCCUU
rnacentral:rRNA from 1 species